rnacentral:ncRNA from 1 species
CUGACUCGGGCACAGUUCUUUCUCACAAAGUGAAUGAUUAGAGGUCUUGGAGCUGAAACAAUCUCAACCUAUUCUCAAACUUUAAAUGAGUAAGGGACCUGGCUCACAGGCAUGGAGCCUGGUGUGAAAUGUGAGUGCCUAGUGGGCCACUUUUGGUAAGCAGAACUCAUGCCGUAGGAUCAACCA